rnacentral:lncRNA from 1 species
UAUUAAUAUAUUAUAUAUUGUAAGUACAUAUAAAUAUAUAUAUUAAUAAGCUCUUUCCUUUUGCAGAAUUACACUCUCUAAACCUCCUUCAACAUUAUUGAAAUAGGAACCCAGUUGAUUGACUGGUAGAGGGGAAUGAGAAGGUCUUAUUAUGAAAUAGUCUAGUCUUUACUACUCUCUGGUCCAAAACAUGUAUCACCAACAUUUACAAAAUAAAAUCAAUAUAAUCAGUAUUUCAUGCAUAUAAAGAAAUAUGUAAAUAAGGUCUGUAGUUACAUGUUGCAUUAGUCAGCUAGGGCUGCUAUUAAAACAAAUCACAAAAUGAGUGGCUUAAACAACAGAAAUUAAUUUUCUCACAGUUCUGUAGGCUAGGAAGUUCAAUAUGAAGGUGCCACUUACUGGAUUUCUGCUGAAGGUUCUCCUCCUGGCUUGCAGACUGCCUCCUUCUUGUUUUUUCACAUGUUGGAGAGAGAGAAGAGAUCUUCCAAAAGAUUUUAAGAAGGAGACAGAUGUGAUCUGAUUUGCAUUUCAGAGAAAUCUCUCUUGUUGCUCUGUGGAUGAUGGAUUGAUCAGAUGGGGUGAUAUUGAAGACUGGAAGCCACCUGCCUCUGCUCCACUUGUGAGAGGAAAGAAUAAACUAGUGUUAGCGAAUGCAACUUGUGCUUGGACGUUCAACUCCCCUAGCAGGCAUUCAAUAAACAAAGUAAAGGAGCCUGAUGUGGCAAAUAUGGAACAAAUAGCCUGGUGACUACCAGGUGUCUCCUCCUUGUCUUCUGUAGGUACAUUUAAUGAAGGAGCUGCUGUCCCUUGAGCUCCAGGAAGGAUGCAGGGUGGUGAUACAAUGUGUAAGAGCUCUAUCUUCAGGGCUGUAAUCUCAGUAAACUCUUGCCUGUUGGAUACAAGAAAAUAGUGGCUGGGAAAAACCUAAAAAGAUGAUAUAACUCUAGGUGAAAUGAGGCAUUGUUCUGUUCCAAUUAUUUUUAUGGAUGUUGAGCACCAAUAAACUAUUAAUAAGAUAUUAUACAAAUAACUACAACGUUGUUAAGAACUUGUAGUCUAAAUGAUACAUAUCUUAAAAAGACUUGUUCCAGGUAAUUGGAAUAUUCAUUUUGCGUUGCUGAACUACUAGAAAGACCCUUUUUGUUAUGUGGACAUUGUGAAAGUUACUCUGGAGAGCACUAAGACAUCUUCCCGUGGUCUUUGGGCCUAUAUAAAUUUUCAUAUUCCUCCUCUUCCUCUCUCUCCACUGAUGAAAAGCUGGAGGGCUGCCUCUGGGUGGAAUGUAAGGUGGAAAAUCCCUGUGGCUGUUCCCAGCAUGGAGAAUUAUCACUGCAAAUCUCAUUCACAGAAUGAUUAAGCUGUGGAUCAAGUUAGAAGUCCAGGCUGGAUGGAGGCUGAGAGAAACACAAUUACAAGGAUGACAAGGAGACAUGGGAAGGGGCCAAGAAGGGCUAAAACAAAACCAUUUUCUCCUGCCAUAUUUGCUGAUCUGUGAAUGGUACUUCACAGGGUACCCAUCUACCUGGGUACCCUAACCUGAAGCAUCAAGGAAUCUUUCAUUCUUCUCUGUAUCAGUUAGGAUAAACUAUGUUCUUCAGCAGUAACAAGUGACUCCAAAGCCUCUGUGGCUUUCAGCAACCAACAUUUAUGCUAUU